rnacentral:rRNA from 1 species
AAUAGAUACCCCGGUAGUCCACCCCGUAAACGUUGGGAACUAGUUGUGGGGUCCUUUCCACGGAUUCCGUGACGCAGCUAACGCAUUAAGUUCCCCGCCUGGGGAGUACGGCCGCAAGGCUAAAACUCAAAGGAAUUGACGGGGACCCGCACAAGCGGCGGAGCAUGCGGAUUAAUUCGAUGCAACGCGAAGAACCUUACCAAGGCUUGACAUACACCAGAACACCCUAGAAAUAGGGGACUCUUUGGACACUGGUGAACAGGUGGUGCAUGGUUGUCGUCAGCUCGUGUCGUGAGAUGUUGGGUUAAGUCCCGCAACGAGCGCAACCCUCGUUCUAUGCUGCCAGCACGUAAUGGUGGGAACUCAUGGGAUACUGCCGGGGUCAACUCGGAGGAAGGCGGGGAUGACGUCAAAUCAUCAUGCCCCUUAUGUCUUGGGCUUCACGCAUGCUACAAUGGCCGGUACAAAGGGCUGCAAUACCGUGAGGUGGAGCGAAUCCCAAAAAGCCGGUCCCAGUUCGGAUUGAGGUCUGCAACUCGA